UGAAAUGUUUCUCACAGUCCUUCACUUGUUGCUUCUUUUACACUCAGGUCUCACUGCGGUGGUCCUUCAGUCUGGAGAUCAGAUGUCCCAGCCUGGGUCGAAUGUGACCUUUGAGUGCAGUAUGGGUGGUGGGCUGGGUAUGAGCAGCUACACCAUGCUCUGGUACCGGCAGGACCGCCCUGGAGCUGCAGUGCAGUUCCUCACUAAAGAGUACGACCAGGCUGCAGGGAACAAAGUGUCCUCUAUCGAUCCGUCCAAAAACACCUUCUCUCUGCACAUCAGCGAGCUGCAACUGAGCGACAGCAGCACUUACUACUGUGCUGCCAAACACAGUGCUGCACUCGGAGCAGAAACCCGUACAGAUAACAGGCCGCUGCAGCUGGAGUUGGGCUUAUCUGGUUUUGUACUGAAAUGGUAG